rnacentral:rRNA from 1 species
GACGUAGGGCGCGAGCGUUGUCCGGAAUUACUGGGCGUAAAGAGCUCGUAGGUGGUUUGUCACGUUGUUCGUGAAAACCCACAGCUCAACUGUGGGCGUGCGAGCGAUACGGGCAGACUAGAGUACUGCAGGGGAGACUGGAAUUCCUGGUGUAGCGGUGGAAUGCGCAGAUAUCAGGAGGAACACCGGUGGCGAAGGCGGGUCUCUGGGCAGUAACUGACGCUGGAGGAGCGAAAGCGUGGGGAGCGAACAGG